UACGGAGGGCGCAAGCGUUAAUCGGAAUUACUGGGCGUAAAGCGCACGCAGGCGGUCUGUUAAGUCAGAUGUGAAAUCCCCGGGCUUAACCUGGGAACUGCAUUUGAAACUGGCAGGCUUGAGUCUUGUAGAGGGGGGUAGAAUUCCAGGUGUAGCGGUGAAAUGCGUAGAGAUCUGGAGGAAUACCGGUGGCGAAGGCGGCCCCCUGGACAAAGACUGACGCUCAGGUGCGAAAGCGUGGGGAGCAAACAGG
rnacentral:rRNA from 1 species